GCUGGAAUCGCUAGUAAUCGCAGAUCAGAAUGCUGCGGUGAAUACGUUCCCGGACCUUGUACACACCGCCCGUCAAGCCAUGGGAGCUGGGGGUGCCUGAAGUUCGUGACCGCAAGGAUCGACCUAGGGCAAAACCGGUGACUGGGGCUAAGUCGUAACAAGGUAAC
rnacentral:rRNA from 1 species